rnacentral:rRNA from 1 species
AUCAUUACAGAGUUACUACUCCAAACCCAUUGUGAACCUUACCUAUGUUCUGUUGCCUCGGCGGCGUCGGUCAGCGCCCCUCUGAGAAGAGGACGAUGCCCCUCCCGCCGGCAGCACCAAACUCUUGAAUUUUACAGCGGAUUACAGUUCUGAUUUGAAAACAAAAAACAAGUUAAAACUUUCAACAACGGAUCUCUUGGUUCUGGCAUCGAUGAAGAACGCAGCGAAAUGCGAUAAGUAAUGUGAAUUGCAGAAUUCAGUGAAUCAUCGAAUCUUUGAACGCACAUUGCGCCCGGCAGUAAUCUGCCGGGCAUGCCUGUCCGAGCGUCAUUUCAACCCUCGAACCUCCGUUUCCUCAGGGAAGCCCAGGGUCGGUGUUGGGGCGCUACGGCGAGUCCUCGCGACCCCCGUAGGCCCUGAAAUACAGUGGCGGUCCCGCCGCGGUUGCCUUCUGCGUAGUAAGUCUCUUUUGCAAGCUCGCAUUGGGUCCCGGCGGAGGCCUGCCGUCAAACCACCUAACAACUCCAGAUGGU